ACUGGCUGUGUUUUAUUGUGUUGGUAAUUUUUUUGAUAUUUGGUAGAUUGUUAACGAUAUUUAGGGUUUAUUAAUUCUUGUUUUUAUGGAAACUGUAGAUUUAUGAGCUUGCUGCACCUGAUGGUUUGCUAGUACAUACUCUUAUUGACACUGUGGGCAUACCCAUUGCUAGAUCACGAUUAGUCCAGACUGGACUUAGAGCCAAAUUUCUAAGACAAGGGAUUGAAACUACAGAAGACCCGGUACAG